rnacentral:rRNA from 1 species
GGAACUCCCUCACACACUUUUGAGGAAACUGUCAGCCGUGUCAUCAUCUGCGAAAAUACCGUUUCUGUUCUUCCUAUAGUUUGUCCGGGGGGUAUUGGGAAAACAACUUUCACCCAACACCUCUAUAAUGAUGCAAGGCUGCAUAGUGAUACUAGGGAUGGAAAUUAUUUUGAUGUCAGUGUCUGGGUAUGUGUAUCGACUGAAUUCAAUGUGCUUAAGCUCACCAGGGAGAUCCUUGGCUGCAUACCAGAACAAAAAGGAAGCAACGGUGUUGCAAAUGAAACAACCAAUUUAGACCAGCUUCAGAAAUCCAUAGCACACCGUAUCAAGUCUUAA